UGAAUACGAGAUGCUACGGCAUCGAAGCAGUCUAUGUCAUACUUCCAAGAAAAACUUGCACUGUCAUAAACAAAUAAUGCCUGUACCAUAACCGACACAGGUGGGUAGGUAGAGUAUACUAAGGGGCGCGAGAUAACUCUCUCUAAGGAACUCGGCAAAAUGACUCCGUAACUUCGGGAGAAGGAGUGCCUUAUUUUAUAAGGUUGCAAUAACAAGAUCCAAGCAACUGUUUACCAAAAACACAGGUCUCCGCUAAGUCGUAAGACGAUGUAUGGGGGCUGACGCCUGCCCAGUGCCAGAAGGUUAAAGAAGUUGGUUAGCAUUAGCGAAGCUGAUAACUGAAGCCCUGGUGAACGGCGGCCGUAACUAUAACGGUCCUAAGGUAGCGAAAUUCCUUGUCGGGUAAGUUCCGACCCGCACGAAAGGCGUAAUGAUUUGGAUACUGUCUCGGAGAGGGGCUCGGUGAAAUAGACUUGUCUGUGAAGAUGCGGACUACCUGCACCAGGACAGAAAGACCCUAUGAAGCUUUACUGUAACUUGAGAUUGAAAUUGGACUUUAUUUGCGCAGUAUAGGUGGGAGACGUUGAAAAUAUUCUUGCGGGAAUAUUGGAGUCAUCAGUGAGAUACCACUCUUAUAAUGUUAGAUUUCUAACUUUGUAUCAUUAUCUGGUCAAAGAACAGUCUCAGGCGGGCAGUUUGACUGGGGCGGUCGCCUCCCAAACGGUAACGGAGGCGCACAAAGGUUUCCUCUGAACGUGUAGAAAUCGUAUCUAGAGUGUAAAGGCAUAAGGAAGCUUGACUGUGAGACCUACAAGUCGAGCAGGGACGAAAGUCGGUCUUAGUGAUCUGACGGUGCUGAGUGGAAAGGCCGUCACUCAACGGAUAAAAGUUACUCUAAGGAUAACAGGCUGAUCUCCCCCAAGAGUUCACAUCGACGGGGAGGUUUGGCACCUCGAUGUCGGCUCAUCGCAUCCUGGGGCGGUAGUACGUCCCAAGGGUUGGGCUGUUCGCCCAUGAAAGCGGUACGCGAGCUGGGUUCAGAACGUCGUGAGACAGUUCGGUCCGUAUCCGGUGUAGGCGUUAGAAUAUUGAGAGGAGCCUUCUUUAGUACGAGAGGACCGAGAAGGACAUACCUCUGGUGUACCAGUUAUCGUGCCAACGGUAAACGCUGGGUAGCUAUGUAUGGAGAGGAUAACCGCUGAAAGCAUCUAAGUGGGAAGCCCACCUCAAGAUAAGUAUUCU
rnacentral:rRNA from 1 species